AUGGCUUUUCUCCAGAGUGCAUUCUUUUGUGUUUCAUUUCCUUCUCCCUCACAGAGAGAUAAGGGAGCAAUGACGCUUCACAGUGUGAGCACUUGUAAGGUCCGGCUUCAGUACAUGGAUUUGAUGGAUAGCUCACUCAGAUGUGCAAGAGUGAAGUUUUGCGUUGCUAUUGUUAUUGUGAAUGAUUCAUCUGUGCAUACUAUCACUUUUCACAGUCCAUGGGGAUCCCUAUUAAAAUGUUUAUAUAUUAACAGAGUUAGACAAAGCACACAACUAUUACUUGAGUGAAAUACAGAUACUGCCAAUCAAAUAUUACUCCAUUUUAAGUGAAAGGGCUAGGGCUAGGGCUAGGGGUCUUUCUAGGAAAGGCCAAUGUUUUUAUUUAUUUAUUUAAUAUUUUGUGAAAGUACAGAAUCACUGUUGCAGCAUGUAAUACUUGCAAUACUGUAUGCCUUUGAAGCAACUUGCAAUAUAUUACGCCUACUGAAUGCACUGUAGUAUCAUUGAAAUGAAUGUUAAAAACCUAUAGGAAGUGAUUACUGAUAGACUGUCUGAAAAGAAGAAAGUCACAUUUUCAGAGAAGAAAAAAUCACACUGGCUUUCAAAGCUGCUACAUAGAAACGACUUAAGGGUACAUAAGUACAGUAAUCAAGUAAAUGUACUUAUUUACUGUCCACAUCUGUAUAUUAAUGUUUGACUCUAAAGUGUCACUUCAUAGAAUAAAAAUAGUUUCCCCUCAUGUUGGUCUGUGUAUGAUUUUAUGGUUCAUAUUAGGUUUUCUAAAAAAUAUACAGUGCAUCUCUAAAGGUUCCAAAGUAUUUAUUUUCUUCCUUAAACUUCCACAGAAGCACCGUGGAAUUUUCCAAAUAACCUUUUAGUGAGUAGUUAAAAUAUUUUUUUCUUAGUGUGAAUGUUUAUAUACAUAUAUAUAUAUAUAUAUAUAUAUAUAUAUAUAUAUAUAUAUAUAUAUAUAUAUAUAUAUAUAUAAUAAAAUAUAAUGUUCAAAAAUGUAAAUAUGUUCAAAACUGAC
ensembl:lncRNA